rnacentral:rRNA from 1 species
UACGGGGGGGGGCAAGCGUUGUUCGGAAUUACUGGGCGUAAAGGGCUCGUAGGCGGCCAACUAAGUCAGACGUGAAAUCCCCAGGCUCAACCUGGGAACUGCGUCUGAUACUGGAUGGCCUGAAUCCGGGAGAGGGAUGCAGAAUUCCAGGUGUAGCGGUGAAAUGCGUAGAUAUCUGGAGGAAUACCGGUGGCGAAGGCGGCAUCCUGGACCGGCAUUGACGCUGAGGAGCGAAAGCCAGGGGAGCAAACGGG